AUUUUGCCUGUGGUACACCCACAGGCAAAUUCUUAUUAUAUUUAUUGGAUAAAUUGUUUCAAUUGAUUCUUUUUUUUAAAUACCUUGAAAUGGUUCACUUUAACUGCGUUUUUUUUUAAAUUCUAACUGUAGCAACAGAAUUUUAAGCCACCAAGCAUAUUUCAUGAACAUCAGAUUUACCGCAAAAAUACCUACAUAUGAAUAAAUUUAUAAUAACGUUUUUAAAAUGUUAAAUAAAGUGAAAUAGGCAGGUAAUUUUGGAUCCAAAUACGCAACAUCGAAUACUAGUUAUAUUGACAUGGUAACCAAGAGAGCGGCUUUUAAACAAUUUACGAAAAGCGUUUUAAAAAAGUUGUUUAAAAAGACAUUUAUAAAAUAAGCUCAACUACAUAAACAGGGACCAAAAUUUCUUUCUCCACCAAUUUUUCGAAAGAGGUUCUAAACACGUAGAAGAACCGGUUGCUCGUGUUACUCAGCUCCUGGUCUAGCAGAUCGUCUUCGAGGUAAGAAGACAGCUUGUCCUCAAGUUCGUCGGCGCUGGUCAUCAUGUUCUCGAAGUAAUCGCCGGAACUAAGCCCGAACACUUUCGUGAUGGUGUUUUUAACCCAUUCCCUCCGAAAGUCGGUCGACAUUUAUUAUUUUAUGUUUAAUUAAACCGAUUAAAA